UACAGGGGGUGCAAACGUUGCUCGGAAUCAUUGGGCGUAAAGCGCACGUAGGCGGUUCGUUAUGUCGGAUGUGAAAGCCCUUGGCUUAACCGAGGAAGUGCAUCCGAAACUGGCGAGCUAGAGUACUAAAGAGGAUCGCGGAAUUCCCGGUGUAGAGGUGAAAUUCGUAGAUAUCGGGAGGAACACCGGUGGCGAAGGCGGCGAUCUGGGUAGAUACUGACGCUGUAGAGCGAAAGCGUGGGGAGCGAACAGG
rnacentral:rRNA from 1 species